CAAAAUGUAGUUUAAAAAACAUUUCGCUUACACCGAAAAAAUGCUCGAAAUAAUCGAACCAUUUUGA
rnacentral:tRNA from 1 species